rnacentral:misc_RNA from 1 species
AAGUCGUAACAAGGUUUCCGUAGGUGAACCUGCGGAAGGAUCAUUAUUGAGAUAGUCAGAAGCUAUUAGGGUCACCCAAAACGCUUUGAAAUAUUGAGCGGGAAUGGGGCGAAGUAAAUAACAAAUCCGGCCAUGACCGUUUUGAAUCCCAAGGGGCUUGCUAUCCCAUCCCCGGUGUAAUAUAUACUCUGUUGCUUUCCGGGCGUCAUACCCCGGAGAGAACCCAACUCUUGAAUUUGGAACGUCUGAGUACUAUAUAAUAGUUAAAA